AAGUUGUGAAAGCAACCUGACGGUACCAGAGGAAUCAGCAUCGGCUAACUCCGUGCCAGCAGCCGCGGUAAGUACGGAGGAUGCAAGCGUUAUCCGGAAUGAUUGGGCGUAAAGCGUCCGCAGGUGCAGUUCAAGUCUGCUGUCAAAGACCGGGCUUAACUUCGGAAAGGCAGUGGAAACUGAACAGCUAGAGUAUGGUAGGGGCAGAGGGAAUUCCUGGUUUAGCGGUGAAAUGACGUAGAGAUCAGGAAGAACAUCGGUGGCGAAGGCGGCUCUGCUGGAACCAUAACUGACACUCAAGGGACGAAAGCUAGGGGAGCGAAUGGGAUUAGAUAACCCCAGUAGUCCGUAGCCGUAAACGAUGGUACUACGUAGGUGUUCGGUCUGUAAUCGACCCGANAGUGCCGUAGCUAACGCGUUAAGUAUCCCGCCUGGGGAGUACCGCUACGCAAGUGUAGAAACUACAAGGAAUUCGACGGGGCCCGCACAAGCGUGAGUAUGUGUUAAUUCGAUGCAACGCGAACGUACCUUACCAGGUACUUAGACAGUGUACCGG
rnacentral:sRNA from 1 species